rnacentral:lncRNA from 1 species
AAGAAAGAAAGAAAAAGGUUCAAGUAAAGUGCAAGAUUCUAAGUAUUCCCAGUUUGAGGCUGCAGUGUGGUGAAUAUCUGCUUUUAGUUGCACCUUUACAAUUCAUACUUGAUUUAUAUGAUAACUGAGUAUAAAUCUUUUCGCAUAAACUGAAAGGAUUAUGAAUAUUUUACGCGGACAAACAUCUUUGAACAGUACAUUAAGUCCUUAAAAUAAAUCAAAACGAGGUAAUUACAUUAUUGAUUAUUCGAAAAUCCUGGAGCCAACAUGGCAAACAGAAGAAAUCAACUAUAGUUCUGAUAUGUGGCACCCACAUAUCAGAAUUACUGUAAUGGACUUUCUUGGUAGACAAUUGCCAUCGAACCAGCCUGGAAUGGUGUCUCUGGCUAAGCUUCUUGUAAUUCAGCUACGGCGGCACGCAUCAUACACUUCAAAAGAUUUAGCUAUCUAUCUAUUAUGACCUUUUUGGUCAUAAUUAGCAAUCAAAACUCGAAGAUCUCACUCAAAAUCACCGACCAAUUCCGCAAAUGCAUGAAGUUUAAUUGAUCUCAAUCAUUUGAAAGCAAUGAAACAUGAUAUUGAUUGAACUAAAAUGAAAUAUUGGAAACUAAAGACAGGAGACUUACAGAGUGAAGGUGUGGCGAGUUGCGUGAUGCAGAUAAAGUGAAUUCAGACAGAAGUCCUACAGAGUUAAGACGUGAAUAAGCCAGUUCUUGAUGCAUACUUUAUCCUUUCAUUUUGUUACUUUCACUCGUACAUUCGUUAAGUAUUAGGAUCGAUGCCCAUUCACAUCCCUUAAAUCUUUUGUCUUUAAUUU